rnacentral:rRNA from 1 species
GACGAACGCUGGCGGCGUGCCUAAUACAUGCAAGUCGAGCGAAGUUUUUCUGGUGCUUGCACUAGAAAAACUUAGCGGCGAACGGGUGAGUAACACGUAAAGAACCUGCCUCAUAGACUGGGACAACUAUUGGAAACGAUAGCUAAUACCGGAUAACAGUAUUUCUCGCAUGAGAGAUAUUUAAAAGUUGGUUAUGCUAACACUAUGAGAUGGCUUUGCGGUGCAUUAGCUAGUUGGUGGGGUAAAGGCCUACCAAGGCGACGAUGCAUAGCCGACCUGAGAGGGUGAUCGGCCACACUGGGACUGAGACACGGCCCAGACUCCUACGGGAGGCAGCAGUAGGGAAUCUUCCGCAAUGGGCGAAAGCCUGACGGAGCAACGCCGCGUGAGUGAAGAAGGAUUUCGGUUCGUAAAGCUCUGUUGUUAGGGAAGAAUGGAUAUGUAGUAACUAUACAUAUAAGAG